AACGACUCUCGGCAACGGAUAUCUCGGCUCUCGCAUCGAUGAAGAACGCAGCAAAAUGCGAUACUUGGUGUGAAUUGCAGAAUCCCGUGAAUCAUCGAGUUUUUGAACGCAAGUUGCGCCCGAAGCCUUCCGGCCAAGGGCACGUCUGCCUGGGUGUCACAA
rnacentral:rRNA from 1 species